UGAAAAACACAUUGCUAAGUGAUGCCUUAACUUCCUAACACCAUACCCUCAGGUUGUAUCCUCCUCUGUUGAUUUUUUGACCAGGUUAGGUCAGACGUGCCCAACCUCUAGUAGUGUAAUGACAACCUUUGAUUUUAAUUUUCUAUAUCCCUCCCUCAACGUAAAUGCCACCUGUCUCCUGUUUUAUAGAUUCUUAAUAGAACAUAUGCCUGCGAAUCUUCAAAGCGAAGAGCUCCUGUGUGAAAUCGCCUACAUGGUCUGCCAUGAUUCCUCUUUUUUUGAAUAUGAUGGUAUUUUCUACAAGCAACAGCAGGGAGUUCCCAUAGGGAGCCCAAUGGCGGGUGU
rnacentral:lncRNA from 1 species